UACGUAGGGCGCAAGCGUUGUCCGGAAUUAUUGGGCGUAAAGAGCUCGUAGGCGGUUUGUCGCGUCUGUCGUGAAAGCCCACGGCUUAACCGUGGGUCUGCGGUGGAUACGGGCAGACUAGAGGCAGGUAGGGGAGAAUGGAAUUCCCGGUGUAGCGGUGAAAUGCGCAGAUAUCGGGAGGAACACCGGUGGCGAAGGCGGUUCUCUGGGCCUGUACUGACGCUCAUGCACGAAAGCGUGGGGAGCAAACAGG
rnacentral:rRNA from 1 species